CUCAGGAAGCUUCGGAAAUAAGUCGGAUGCUGAAGGGGCUCCCAAACCCCCCCCCCCCCCGCUGGCUUCAGAUGUCACGUGCAUCAACAUCGCUCCAUUCUGACUUGAUGAGAAGUAAACGUUGUGAAUCUCAGCUACUAAGCCAACAAAAUACGAAUUUAAUCUCUUAUUUGCUUUUUAUUUUUAUUAUGAAAACUUUCCAACCUCCAGCAAAAUGCAGAUCGCAGCCCUAACGAGCACCCACACACCCACACACCUGGAUUUCAGCCCCCAAGGGUGUGAUCCUCAGGAGAGCAGGAACUGUGUGUGCUGUGCUCACAGGUAGUAGAACCCCAUCAGGACCUGUUGAACCAAAGGUGUCUCUGCUCCCUACUUUGCCUCGGGAACCCCUGGGGCAUGCAUCCGCCCAGGAAUCGUUGGACAGGAUCCCCCCAAACCCCCCGCCUGGGGCAGUGCUGGGGCUUUGGUCCAGAUGACACGUGGCUCAGAGAAACAAUUGAACCAGGGAGAGAAGGACUCCGUCCAGUCCAAAUACACUUUUUUUGCAAAGCCAAAGCAGUGACGCCCUUCAAGAUGCUGUUCCCUUUAAGAUCUCACAAACGGAGUCUGCAAAUAUCUUCUCCACCGUUGUGCGUGAAGAACGUUUCACGAACCAACGAAUGUGCUGAUUCCAGAGCCUGAGGUAGGAGGUUGGACCAGAGAGGCUCUACUAUGUUUAACUGGUGUCUCUUUCUCUCUCCUCUGCUUCCAUCUAAGGCUGGCGGGAUGGGCGUAAUGCUGCCCAGAUAGAAAGCAAAAGAUAAAGCAGAUGGGGACAAAACAGGGCCAGAGGCGGCCUAGAGGAAAUCUGCUGUCUGCAGACAGCGGAACAGGCUGGAAGGUGCCAGCAAUGACAAGGGGGGUGCAGGGGGCUGGAGAGCAGGAAACAAGCUCCAGUGCCAGGACCAGGGAGAGAGAACUGGCUUCUUCUUCCAGGUACAAAUGGCGCCUGGUUUUCCCAUCGUUAUGCUCUCUGCUAUGAGCGGUUUGAACCUCUCCAGAGUGAUCCGUCCAUCACAUGACAGCUCAGAUCAGGUUUGCUUUCUGGAUGCAAAACCCACAGCUACAACAGGAAGUGGCAUCAUUCACGGGACAUGACAGUGUUCCCUUCUCUCCCUCUCUCUCAGUCUCUCUCUCCCUGUCCUCCUGGUGGAGAGUGGUACUUACAUGUGGGGCAAAAUGCUCCAGGCACAAGACUCAGGACAAGAUGGUAGGAUUGGCCCCUGGACUUGCUGAACUUUACAAAGCGGUGCAUUCAGGGCUGCAAACGGAACACGGGCAGCUUCUCUGAGCUCAGCUCCAGCCCCGCCAUGAAGGCAGGUGUCGUAGACUCCAGAUGGGGGCUGUAGGUCUGCGAAGGCCAGCGCCUGCUCCCCGGGGAGAGAGCGCCUGGCUAACUGCCAAGCCUCAUCACCACAUGAGCAUCAUCCUUUGGAGUCCUGAUAAAAUGAGACAGGACAGUAAUGACCAGCAGGCAGAGAGGCACAUGCUGGAAGCACACACUGGAUUCCCAUUGGGAAAAUGCUAGAAGGCUGCCCUU